AACGAACGCUGGCGGCAGGCCUAACACAUGCAAGUCGAGCGAAGCCUUCGGGCUUAGCGGCGGACGGGUGAGUAACGCGUGGGAACGUGCCCUUUGGUACGGAAUAGCCCCGGGAAACUGGGAGUAAUACCGUAUGUGGUCGAGAGACGAAAGAUUUAUCGCCAAAGGAUCGGCCCGCGUUGGAUUAGGUAGUUGGUGGGGUAAUGGCCUACCAAGCCGAGGAUCCAUAGCUGGUUUGAGAGGAUGAUCAGCCACACUGGGACUGAGACACGGCCCAGACUCCUACGGGAGGCAGCAGUGGGGAAUCUUAGACAAUGGGGGAAACCCUGAUCUAGCCAUGCCGCGUGAUCGAUGAAGGCCUUAGGGUUGUAAAGAUCUUUCAGUGGGGAAGAUAAUGACUGUACCCACAGAAGAAGCCCCGGCUAACUCUGUGCCAGCAGCCGCCGUAAAAC
rnacentral:rRNA from 1 species